CGGGACACGUGGUAUCCUGUCUGAAUAUGGGGGGACCAUCCUCCAAGGCUAAAUACUCCUGACUGACCGAUAGUGAACCAGUACCGUGAGGGAAAGGCGAAAAGAACCCCGGCGAGGGGAGUGAAAAAGAACCUGAAACCGUGUACGUACAAGCAGUGGGAGCACGCUUAGGCGUGUGACUGCGUACCUUUUGUAUAAUGGGUCAGCGACUUAUAUUCUGUAGCAAGGUUAACCGAAUAGGGGAGCCGAAGGGAAACCGAGUCUUAACUGGGCGUUAAGUUGCAGGGUAUAGACCCGAAACCCGGUGAUCUAGCCAUGGGCAGGUUGAAGGUUGGGUAACACUAACUGGAGGACCGAACCGACUAAUGUUGAAAAAUUAGCGGAUGACUUGUGGCUGGGGGUGAAAGGCCAAUCAAACCGGGAGAUAGCUGGUUCUCCCCGAAAGCUAUUUAGGUAGCGCCUCGUGAAUUCAUCUCCGGGGGUAGAGCACUGUUUCGGCAAGGGGGUCAUCCCGACUUACCAACCCGAUGCAAACUGCGAAUACCGGAGAAUGUUAUCACGGGAGACACACGGCGGGUGCUAACGUCCGUCGUGAAGAGGGAAACAACCCAGACCGCCAGCUAAGGUCCCAAAGUCAUGGUUAAGUGGGAAACGAUGUGGGAAGGCCCAGACAGCCAGGAUGUUGGCUUAGAAGCAGCCAUCAUUUAAAGAAAGCGUAAUAGCUCACUGGUCGAGUCGGCCUGCGCGGAAGAUGUAACGGGGCUAAACCAUGCACCGAAGCUGCGGCAGCGACACUAUGUGUUGUUGGGUAGGGGAGCGUUCUGUAAGCCUGUGAAGGUGUACUGUGAGGUAUGCUGGAGGUAUCAGAAGUGCGAAUGCUGACAUAAGUAACGAUAAAGCGGGUGAAAAGCCCGCUCGCCGGAAGACCAAGGGUUCCUGUCCAACGUUAAUCGGGGCAGGGUGAGUCGACCCCUAAGGCGAGGCCGAAAGGCGUAGUCGAUGGGAAACAGGUUAAUAUUCCUGUACUUGGUGUUACUGCGAAGGGGGGACGGAGAAGGCUAUGUUGGCCGGGCGACGGUUGUCCCGGUUUAAGCGUGUAGGCUGGUUUUCCAGGCAAAUCCGGAAAAUCAAGGCUGAGGCGUGAUGACGAGGCACUACGGUGCUGAAGCAACAAAUGCCCUGCUUCCAGGAAAAGCCUCUAAGCAUCAGGUAACAUCAAAUCGUACCCCAAACCGACACAGGUGGUCAGGUAGAGAAUACCAAGGCGCUUGAGAGAACUCGGGUGAAGGAACUAGGCAAAAUGGUGCCGUAACUUCGGGAGAAGGCACGCUGAUAUGUAGGUGAAGUCCCUCGCGGAUGGAGCUGAAAUUAGUCGAAGAUACCAGCUGGCUGCAACUGUUUAUUAAAAACACAGCACUGUGCAAACACGAAAGUGGACGUAUACGGUGUGACGCCUGCCCGGUGCCGGAAGGUUAAUUGAUGGGGUCAGCGCAAGCGAAGCUCUUGAUCGAAGCCCCGGUAAACGGCGGCCGUAACUAUAACGGUCCUAAGGUAGCGAAAUUCCUUGUCGGGUAAGUUCCGACCUGCACGAAUGGCGUAAUGAUGGCCAGGCUGUCUCCACCCGAGACUCAGUGAAAUUGAACUCGCUGUGAAGAUGCAGUGUACCCGCGGCAAGACGGAAAGACCCCGUGAACCUUUACUAUAGCUUGACACUGAACAUUGAGCCUUGAUGUGUAGGAUAGGUGGGAGGCUUUGAAGUGUGGACGCCAGUCUGCAUGGAGCCGACCUUGAAAUACCACCCUUUAAUGUUUGAUGUUCUAACGUUGACCCGUGAUCCGGGUUGCGGACAGUGUCUGGUGGGUAGUUUGACUGGGGCGGUCUCCUCCUAAAGAGUAACGGAGGAGCACGAAGGUUGGCUAAUCCUGGUCGGACAUCAGGAGGUUAGUGCAAUGGCAUAAGCCAGCUUGACUGCGAGCGUGACGGCGCGAGCAGGUGCGAAAGCAGGUCAUAGUGAUCCGGUGGUUCUGAAUGGAAGGGCCAUCGCUCAACGGAUAAAAGGUACUCCGGGGAUAACAGGCUGAUACCGCCCAAGAGUUCAUAUCGACGGCGGUGUUUGGCACCUCGAUGUCGGCUCAUCACAUCCUGGGGCUGAAGUAGGUCCCAAGGGUAUGGCUGUUCGCCAUUUAAAGUGGUACGCGAGCUGGGUUUAGAACGUCGUGAGACAGUUCGGUCCCUA
rnacentral:rRNA from 1 species